GACAGAGGAGCCAAGCGUUGUCCGGACUGACUGGGCGUAAAGGGCACGCAGGCGGUGCGACAAGUGGUGUGUGAAAGCUCCUGGCUUAACCGGGAGUGGUCGGUGGAAACUGCUCGUCUGGAGGACGGUAGAGGCUGGUGGAAUUCCCGGUGUAGUGGUGAAAUGCGUAGAGAUCGGGAGGAACACCUGUGGCGAAGGCGGCUACCUGGCCGGAUACUGACACUGAAGCACGAAAGCGUGGGGAGCAAACAGG
rnacentral:rRNA from 1 species